rnacentral:rRNA from 1 species
AUCAACGCUGGCGGCGUGGCCUCAGACAUGCAAGUCGAACGCGAAAAGCCUCCUUCGGGGGGGCAAGUAGAGUGGCGCAACGGGUGAGUAACAACGUAGGUAAUCUACCUUUGGAUUGGGAAUAACCACCGGGAAACGGUGGCUAAUACCGAAUAAUGCCAGGCGGCCACCUAAAUGGUGACAGUUGUUUAAAGCGGGGGAUCGCAAGAACCUCGCGUCUGAAGAGGAGGCCUGCGGCAGAUUAGCUAGUUGGUAAGGUAACGGCUUACCAAGGCGAUGAUCUGUAGCCGGCCUGAGAGGGCGGUCGGCCCACACUGACACUGACAUACGGGUCAGACUCCUACGGGAGGCAGCAGUCGGGAAUUUUGGGCAAUGGGGCGAAAGCCUGACCCAGCAACGCCGCGUGAAGGAUGAAAUCCCUCGGGAUGUAAACUUUCGGCAAGAACGGGAAGAAUAAGUAAGAGUUAAUAUCUCUUAUGAUGGACGGUACUGUUUUGUAAGCUCCGGCUAACUCCGUGCCAGGCAGCCGCGGUAAUACGGGGGGAGCAAGCGUUUGUUCGGAUUUACUGGGCGUAAAGGGGCCGCGUAGGCGGCCACCGCAAGUCGACUGUGAAAUCUCCGGGCUUAACCCGGAAAGGUCAGCCGAUACUGCGGGGGCUAGAGUGCAGAAGGGGCAACUGGAAUUCUCGGUGUAGCGGUGGAAAAUGCGUAGAUAUCGAGAGGAAACCACCUGCGGCGAAGGGCGGGUUGCUGGGCUGACACUGGACGCUGAUGUGCGAAAGCUAGGGGAGGCGAACGGGAUUAGAUACCCCGGUAGUCCUAGCCUUAAACGAAUGAAUGCUUGGUGUCUGGGGGUUUUUAUAGUCCCCGGGUGGCCCGUCCGCUAACGCCUUUAAAGCAUUCCGCCUGGGGAGUACGGGUCGCAAGGACCGAAACUUCAAAGGAAUUGACGGGGACCCGCACAAAGCGGUGGAAGCAUGUGGUUUAAUUUCGACGCAACGCGAAGAAACCUUACCUGGGGCCUAGAAUGCCUCUGACCGGGCGUAGAGAAUACGCCUUUCCUGGGGUAAAACCAGGCAGAGUGCCAAGGUGGCUGCAUGGCUGUCGUCAGCUCGUGUCGUGAGAUGUUUGGGUUAAAGUUCCCCGCAACGAGCGCAACCCUUAUCAAUAGUUUGCCAGCGGUUCGGCCGGGCACUCUAUUGAGACUUGCCGUUGACAAAACGGAGGAAGGUGGGGAUGACGUCCAAGUCCUCAUGGCCCUUUAUUGUCCAGGGCUACACACGUGCUUACAAUGGCAAGUACAAACCGCUGCAAAACCAGCAAUGGGGAGCCAAUCGGAAAAAGCUUUGUCUCAGUUCGGAUUGGAGUCUGCAACUCGACCUUCCAUGAAGCUGGAAAUCGCUAGUAAUCGCAGAUCAGCAUGCUGCGGUGAAUACGUUUCCCGGGUCUUGUACACACCGCCCGUCACAUCACGAAAGUGGGUUUGUACUAGAAGUCCGUCGCGCCAACCCGUAAGGGAGGGCAGGCGCCCCACGGUAUGGAUCCAUGAUUGGGGUG